UACGUAGGGUGCAAGCGUUAAUCGGAAUUACUGGGCGUAAAGCGUGCGCAGGCGGUUAUGUAAGACAGGUGUGAAAUCCCCGGGCUUAACCUGGGAACUGCAUUUGUGACUGCAUAGCUAGAGUACGGUAGAGGGGGAUGGAAUUCCGCGUGUAGCAGUGAAAUGCGUAGAUAUGCAGAGGAACACCGAUGGCGAAGACAAUCCCCUGGACCUGUACUGACGCUCAUGCACGAAAGCGUGGGGAGCAAACAGG
rnacentral:rRNA from 1 species